rnacentral:rRNA from 1 species
CUCAGAUUGAACGCUGGCGGCAGGCCUAACACAUGCAAGUCGAACGGCAGCACAGAAGAGCUUGCUCUUUGGGUGGCGAGUGGCGGACGGGUGAGUAACACGUAGGAAUCUACCAGUAGUGGGGAUAACCUGGGGAAACCCAGGCUAAUACCGCAUACGCCUGAGGGGAAAGCGGGGGAUCUUCGGACCUCGCGCUAUUGGAUGAGCCUGCGUCGGAUUAGCUAGUUGGUGGGGUAAGGGCUCACCAAGGCGACGAUCCGUAGCUGGUCUGAGAGGAUGACCAGUCACACCGGAACUGAGACACGGUCCGGACUCCUACGGGAGGCAGCAGUGGGGAAUAUUGGACAAUGGGCGCAAGCCUGAUCCAGCCAUGCCGCGUGGGUGAAGAAGGCCUUCGGGUUGUAAAGCCCUUUAGGUGGGGAGGAAGGCAUUCAUGCUAAUACCAUGGAUGAUUGACGUUACCCA